rnacentral:rRNA from 1 species
GACGAACGCUGGCGGCGUGCCUAAUACAUGCAAGUCGAGCGCAGGAAAUCGACGGAACCCUUCGGGGGGAAGUCGACGGAAUGAGCGGCGGACGGGUGAGUAACACGUAAAGAACCUGCCCUCAGGUCUGGGAUAACCACGAGAAAUCGGGGCUAAUACCGGAUGGGUCAUCGGACCGCAUGGUCCGAGGAUGAAAGGCGCUUCGGCGUCGCCUGGGGAUGGCUUUGCGGUGCAUUAGCUAGUUGGUGGGGUAAUGGCCCACCAAGGCGACGAUGCAUAGCCGACCUGAGAGGGUGAUCGGCCACACUGGGACGGAGACACGGCCCAGACUCCUACGGGAGGCAGCAGUAGGGAAUCUUCCACUAUGGACGAAAGUGUGAUGGAGCAACGCCGCGUGAACGAUGAAGGCCUUCGGGUCGUAAAGUUCUGUUGUAAGGGAAGAACAAGUGCCGCAGGCAAUGGCGGCACCUUGACGGUACCUUGCGAGAAAGCCACGGCUAACUACGUGCCAGCCGCCGCGGUAA